AUGUCAAUCCUUAAAGCAACAGAACCCUUUACCCCAACAAACUUAUACUCUUUUGGAGCAACUAAUGAUUAUCUUCACUUAUCAGAUUUAAUCAAGAGGAAACUUAGAGAGUAGUAAAGAAUAAGCAUUUAUAGCAUAGGCAAUUGGGCAUGUAAUCAGAUUGUUGGGAUAAUUUUUAAAAUAUAAUUGUUGUCUGGGGCAGAAUGGAACAUAACAAAAAUGGUUAAAUAGGUACAUAUUGCUCAUUCCACUCAUCAAUGUUGAUAUUAUGAGUCAGAAGAAAUCUAGAUCUCAGUUAAAUUAAAGGGUCCUAAUAAUUUCACAUCCUAAAAUCUUAAUUUCACACCCUGUAUAUGGGCCGUAUAAUGUUAUACGGCCUGUAUAGAAUAAUUCAACAUGACAAAUAUUUGGCCGUAUAAUGUUAUAUGGCUCGGAUAAUGUUAUACAGCUCGUAUACAUAGAGAAAAUAUUAGGCCGUAUAAAAUUCUAUACGGCUCGUAUAACAUUAUAUGAGUUUGGGGCGUAUAACAUUAUAUGGGUCGUAUAACAUUCUAUACGGGCCGUAUAGUGUUAUAUGGUCCGUAUACAUGGACAAAAAACAUUCCCUGAUAUUUUUUUUGUGCAACAAUCAGUUAUAGAGCCCGUAUAACUCUAUACAGGCUGCAUACAUGUAGAGGUGUGGGAAUAGUGAGAACGAAAUUAAAAGGGGGUUUGGUGGCAUAUAAUAAUUGUUCAGUAAAGAAAAUAUCUUGAGGUGCUUAAAAGCCGAAAUUUUGUUAUGAUGAUACCUCCAAAAACUUUCCAGUUUAUUGGAACAAUAUCCCCAGCAUGUAAAAUAGACCAUAAUGGAAACAGAUUCUGAAAACUGUUGCAAGGAUUUCAUCAUAAUUCUACAGGAGUUGGAACAUUCUGAUUCACAUAAAU
rnacentral:lncRNA from 1 species